UACGGAGGGUGCAAGCGUUAUCCGGAUUCACUGGGUUUAAAGGGUGCGUAGGUGGGUUGGUAAGUCAGUGGUGAAAUCUCCGUGCUUAACAUGGAAACUGCCAUUGAUACUACUGAUCUUGAAUUUUCAGGAGGUAAGCGGAAUAUGUCAUGUAGCGGUGAAAUGCUUAGAUAUGACAUAGAACACCGAUUGCGAAGGCAGCUUACUAUGGUAUGAUUGACGCUGAGGCACGAAAGCGUGGGGAUCAAACAGG
rnacentral:rRNA from 1 species